GAUGAACGCUAGCGGCAGGCCUAAUACAUGCAAGUCGAACGGUAACAUGAGUAGCAAUACUUGAUGACGAGUGGCGCACGGGUGCGUAACGCGUAUGCAAUCUACCUUUAACUGGUGAAUAGCCCGAAGAAAUUCGGAUUAAUACACCAUAGUAUAGUUGAAUGGCAUCAUUUAACUAUUAAAACUCCGGUGGUUAAAGAUGAGCAUGCGUGACAUUAGCUAGUUGGUGAGGUAAUGGCUCACCAAGGCUACGAUGUCUAGGGGAUCUGAGAGGAUUAACCCCCACACUGGUACUGAGACACGGACCAGACUCCUACGGGAGGCAGCAGUAAGGAAUAUUGGACAAUGGUCGCAAGACUGAUCCAGCCAUGCCGCGUGAAGGAUGACGGCCCUAUGGGUUGUAAACUUCUUUUGUAUGGGAAAAAACCUCUUUACGUGUAAAGAGCUGAUUGUACCAUAAGAAUAAGGAUCGGCUAACUCCGUGCCAGCAGCCGCGGUAACAC
rnacentral:rRNA from 1 species